AUUGAACGCUGGCGGCAGGCCUAACACAUGCAAGUCGAACGAGUGGCGGACGGGUGAGUAAUGUCUGGGAAACUGCCUGAUGGAGGGGGAUAACUACUGGAAACGGUAGCUACUACCGCAUACCAUCGGAUGUGCCCAGAUGGGAUUAGCUAGUCGGUGGGGUAACGGCUCACCUAGGCGACGAUCCCUAGCUGGUCUGAGAGGAUGACCAGCCAUACUGGAACUGAGACACGGGACAUACUCAGACGGGAGGCAGCAGGGGGGAAUAUUGCACAAGGGGCGCAAGCCUGAUGCAGCCAUGCCGCGUGUAUGAAGAAGGCCUUCGGGUUGUAAAGUACUUUCAGCGGGGAGGCGUUACCCGCAGAAGAAGCACCGGCUAACUCCGUGCCAGCAGCCGCGGUAAUAC
rnacentral:rRNA from 1 species